GUGGCUGACCUGGGAGGACUUUUCGUCAUGGGAAACAUAAAGGUCUUCCUCAUCAAUGUAAACAAUAAGGCCCCUUUUCUCACCUGCAGUAAGUUUAUUUAACAUUGAAGAAGCAGUCUUGACUCCUACCCUGGUGAACUCAACAACCCCUCCAGAAGGCAACAUCAUGCUCGCUGAAGAAACUCCGCUGGGGAAAACUGUGGGUGCCUGCCGAGCUACUCAUGAAGACCAGAUGGGACGUCUCACCUUUGAACUGGACUUUGCUAUUGAUAAAGGGUGGAACUGUGAUGAUUGCUGACCGUCUGGAUCUGGAGGAGACUGACUUUGUGAGUGUUCAGUUCUUUACCAUUAAGGCGCGUGAUGAAGACCAGCACUGCGCAGCUAUUCCUGUGAUAGUGUACAUUCAUGGGAUCAAUGAUAACCCACGAUUCUGUGAUAAGUAUUUGUACAGG
rnacentral:lncRNA from 1 species